GCUGGCGGCGUGCUUAACACAUGCAAGUCGAACGAGGGAAUUCUUUUCGGAGAAUAUACCGAGUGGCAAACGGGUGAGUAACGCGUAGACAACCUGCCUCUCAGAUGGGGACAACAGCCCGAAAGGGCUGCUAAUACCGAAUGUUGUAUUUUCUCCGCAUGGAGGAGAUAUUAAAGAUGGCCUCUACUUGUAAGCUAUCACUGAGAGAUGGGUCUGCGUCUGAUUAGCUAGUUGGUGGGGCAACGGCCUACCAAGGCGACGAUCAGUAGCCGGUCUGAGAGGAUGAACGGCCACAUUGGAACUGAGACACGGUCCAGACUCCUACGGGAGGCAGCAGUGGGGAAUCUUCCGCAAUGGGCGAAAGCCUGACGGAGCAACGCCGCGUGAGUGAAGAAGGUCUUCGGAUCGUAAAGCUCUGUUGUCGGGGACGAAUGUUGAGGCCUAGAACAUAGGUUUCAAAUGACGGUACCUGACGAGGAAGCCACGGCUAACUACGUG
rnacentral:rRNA from 1 species